rnacentral:rRNA from 2 species
CCAACGAGUGGCGGACGGGUGAGUAACACGUAGGUAACCUGCCCAGAAGCGGGGGACAACAUUUGGAAACAGAUGCUAAUACCGCAUAACAACGUUGUUCGCAUGAACAACGCUUAAAAGAUGGCUUCUCGCUAUCACUUCUGGAUGGACCUGCGGUGCAUUAGCUUGUUGGUGGGGUAAUGGCCUACCAAGGCGAUGAUGCAUAGCCGAGUUGAGAGACUGAUCGGCCACAAUGGGACUGAGACACGGCCCAUACUCCUACGGGAGGCAGCAGUAGGGAAUCUUCCACAAUGGGCGCAAGCCUGAUGGAGCAACACCGCGUGAGUGAAGAAGGGUUUCGGCUCGUAAAGCUCUGUUGUUAAAGAAGAACACGUAUGAGAGUAACUGUUCAUACGUUGACGGUAUUUAACCAGAAAGUCACGGCUAACUACGUGCCAGCAGCCGCGGUAAUACGUAGGUGGCAAGCGUUAUCCGGAUUUAUUGGGCGUAAAGAGAGUGCAGGCGGUUUUCUAAGUCUGAUGUGAAAGCCUUCGGCUUAACCGGAGAAGUGCAUCGGAAACUGGAUAACUUGAGUGCAGAAGAGGGUAGUGGAACUCCAUGUGUAGCGGUGGAAUGCGUAGAUAUAUGGAAGAACACCAGUGGCGAAGGCGGCUACCUGGUCUGCAACUGACGCUGAGACUCGAAAGCAUGGGUAGCGAACAGGAUUAGAUACCCUGGUAGUCCAUGCCGUAAACGAUGAGUGCUAGGUGUUGGAGGGUUUCCGCCCUUCAGUGCCGGAGCUAACGCAUUAAGCACUCCGCCUGGGGAGUACGACCGCAAGGUUGAAACUCAAAGGAAUUGACGGGGGGCCCGCACAAGCGGUGGAGCAUGUGGUUUAAUUCGAAGCUACGCGAAGAACCUUACCAGGUCUUGACAUCUUGCGCCAACCCUAGAGAUAGGGCGUUUCCUUCGGGAACGCAAUGACAGGUGGUGCAUGGUCGUCGUCAGCUCGUGUCGUGAGAUGUUGGGUUAAGUCCCGCAACGAGCGCAACCCUUGUUACUAGUUGCCAGCAUUAAGUUGGGCACUCUAGUGAGACUGCCGGUGACAAACCGGAGGAAGGUGGGGACGACGUCAGAUCAUCAUGCCCCUUAUGACCUGGGCUACACACGUGCUACAAUGGACGGUACAACGAGUCGCGAACUCGCGAGGGCAAGCAAAUCUCUUAAAACCGUUCUCAGUUCGGACUGCAGGCUGCAACUCGCCUGCACGAAGUCGGAAUCGCUAGUAAUCGCGGAUCAGCAUGCCGCGGUGAAUACGUUCCCGG